rnacentral:misc_RNA from 1 species
ACCCAGGUACAGUGCGUAGCAUACUUACUUAGCAAGUAAAAUGCACCAAGAAGCAAUGCAAUAGCACCAUUUCUAUGAAAAGGCUGAGAUUGAUCAAGCAAACCCUUGGAAGAAGACUUUGCACUGCUAAUUCCUUUUGCAGAAGCAGUUUGGGCAACCUUGUUCUUUGCCCUUAACAACAAUGUCAAAUUCUUUAUAGUAGCAGAAACAGCAAUAGCACUAAUAAGGCAAACAGCAGGUGUAGCCACAAGAAUCAA